AUACGGAGGAUGCAAGCGUUAUCCGGAUUUAUUGGGUUUAAAGGGUGCGUAGGCGGUUUGCUAAGCGGGAGGUGAAAUGCCGGCGCUCAACGUCGGAAGUGCCUCCCGAACUGGUGGACUGGCAUGACUCUGCCGUGGGAGGAAUGUGUAGUGUAGCGGUGAAAUGCGUAGAGGGUGCACAGAACACCGAUUGCGAAGGCAUCUCACGAAGUGUUGAUUGACGCUGAGGCACGAAAGCGUGGGGAACAAACAGUAUUAGAUGCCCUUGUAGGCGUGGCAGUGAACGAUGAUGGCUAGCCGCGGGGCUUAUCAGUUCAGUGGCCAAGCGAAAGCGAUAAGCCAUCCACCUGGGGAGUACGACCUCAAGGUGGAAACUCAAAUGAAUUGACGGGG
rnacentral:rRNA from 1 species